ACCUCUGCAGGAGUGGCCCCAGGCUUGUUGAGUUCUGAGACCCAGAGAACCUGGCUUCAAAUUUGGUUGAAUGGGGAAAGGAAUUGGUGGCAGUAGGGGUAUAGUCCAAAUUAGGCAAGGCCACGUUCCAGAUAAUUCAACUGAGGACCAAAGGGCAGGAGUCCCAUCAGUGCACAAUUUUUGAAUAGAUCAGACUUCUUUUCUGUGGGUGGGGGUGCUCAGAGUUCUGAAGGCAUACAGUUAAACUGUCUCUGUGAUGGCUUCAUGCACUCCCUUCCUCAUCCUCCUCCCUUCUCCUGGCUUCCUAACAUCCAUUGUCCAGGGGGAAGCUGGAGUGGGGGUGGUGGGGUUCUUCUGCAUCAUGCAGGAAAGUUCCUCACAUUGAAGACAAGUUGCUCAAAGUGAAAAGCAGAUGCAAAUGAAUACCAAAUUUUGCAUGAACAACCUUGCCAUUUAAAUUAGCUGGAUGUGCUACCUUUUACAUCAGAAUAUGCUCAGGGAAAGAUCAUUCAUGUUUUAAAGAAUUGAAGCUCAACUUUAUUGAUUUCCAUCCCACCCUGCUAUUUGCUAGUCAGAUUCAUAGUCGUCUCACCAUCUUCUCUCAGACACGUAAAACAUCCUCUCUAAUCUUAACUGAUGGACCCAAUUACAAAGGGAGGGGAAGAAAGCACACGAGAAUACUGUCCCUCAGAGUGAUUACUUAUAAUAAAAAAGAGGAAUGCAAUUACAUCACAGUAAUGGAGAUUUCUUUUGUAAUUCACAAGUACCAGGAUCUUAAGAAGCCAAUUAGACUGCUCUGGAUAUAUUUCAAACAUGAAGGCAAAGUGCUAGUAAAGUGGAAAUACCAUAGUACCAAUUCUAAAAUUAUCAUAGCACUGCUGUGAUUUACCUAAUUCAAAUCACAGAAAGAAUUGCAAGAGGAAAUCCUAACUCAGGCUGCUAUCAUUCUAAAUCAAUUGAGGACUGAUCAAAAUUGGUCAUUUGGAGGAACAGCACAAUUUACUUUCUGGAAGAGAUCCACUGCAAAGAAUACAGCCCAUCAUUUAGACUCUAACAGAUUCAUGUUCUUCCCUAUGACAGUAGCCUGGAGGAUGAAGAACCUAAGCAGACUGUGGAUUGAAUAGGCAUAACCCAAGGGACUGAAAAGAAGAGAAAUGAUCACAAAAUGUUAAUAAAAAUACUAAUGUGCUGCUCCUCAUCAUUCAAUAAGGAACAAUAUUUAAUUUUCAGAAUUACAUUCAAAGAAAUGCUGCACCUAAAGCCUUAUUUUGUUAACCACAAAUGUUGCCAUCCUCAAAGCCAUAUACAAUGGUAUCAAUCAAUGAUAAUUUGUACAAUGAAUGCAUAUUAUUUGGUGUAUGUGUGUAUUUGUUUAUUUCAGCCCAAGGCCAGCAUAAAUACAAGAAAAAGAAACAACAACAACAAUAAAAUAUAUAAAACCGUA